UCAGGCCUAACACAUGCAAGUCGAGCGCGAAAAUACUUCGGUAUGAGUAGAGCGGCGGACGGGUGAGUAACGCGUAGGAAUCUACCUAGUAGUGGGGGACAACUCGGGGAAACUCGAGCUAAUACCGCAUACGCCCUACGGGGGAAAGCGGGGGAUCUUCGGACCUCGUGCUAUUAGAUGAGCCUGCGUAAGAUUAGCUAGUUGGUGGGGUAAUGGCCUACCAAGGCGACGAUCUUUAGCUGGUCUGAGAGGAUGAUCAGCCACACCGGGACUGAGACACGGCCCGGACUCCUACGGGAGGCAGCAGUGGGGAAUAUUGCGCAAUGGGCGAAAGCCUGACGCAGCCAUGCCGCGUGUGUGAAGAAGGCCUUCGGGUUGUAAAGCACUUUCAAUUGGGAGGAAAGGUUCACGAUUAAUACUCGUGAGCUGUGACGUUACCUUUAGAAGAAGCACCGGCUAACUCCGUGCCAGCAGCCGCGGUAAUACGGAGGGUGCAAGCGUUAAUCGGAAUUACUGGGCGUAAAGCGCGCGUAGGUGGCUUGUUAAGUCGGAUGUGAAAGCCCCGGGCUCAACCUGGGAACUGCAUCCGAUACUGGCAAGCUAGAGUGCGGGAGAGGGAGGUAGAAUUCCACGUGUAGCGGUGAAAUGCGUAGAUAUGUGGAGGAAUACCAGUGGCGAAGGCGGCCUCCUGCUCGACACU
rnacentral:rRNA from 1 species